UACGUAGGUCCCGAGCGUUGUCCGGAUUUAUUGGGCGUAAAGCGAGCGCAGGCGGUUAGAUAAGUCUGAAGUUAAAGGCUGUGGCUUAACCAUAGUACGCUUUGGAAACUGUUUAACUUGAGUGCCAAGAGGGGAGAGUGGAAUUCCAUGUGUAGCGGUGAAAUGCGUAGAUAUAUGGAGGAACACCGGUGGCGAAAGCGGUCAUACUCUGGCUUGUAACUGACGCUGAGGCUCGAAAGCG
rnacentral:rRNA from 1 species